rnacentral:lncRNA from 1 species
CGGGGACGUUGGUGGGCAGAACGCGGUUGACGGCCAGGAAGUGCUCGACGAAACCCAACACCAAAGAGAGCAGCACCAGGUCCGGUUCCGACUGCCGCAGCUCCGCCUCGAACAGCCGAACCACCGCCGACACCGAACGCAGAGGGAACAGCGCCUUCUGCCACGGCUUCAGCCCCAUGGCGCCUCAGUGGGUCUCCACGGCCUUCGGCGGGGCGCGGCGGGACGCUGCAGGCCUCCCGUGGGCACCGCGGGCCGCGCUAGGCCGCGCUAGGCCUCAGUAGGCCGCGUCGGGCCCCGGUCGGACGCCGAGUUCCGCCGCACCUUCCCCCGGAGCUCAUCAGCUCUCCCCCGGCGUCGCCCGCAGCCCCCAACCGGGCCGGGGCGGGCCGGGCCGGUCCUCGCCGGGACCGCGGGCGGCGACGGGAGCGGCGUGAGG